CGCCAAGCUGAGUUUAGUUUUAGUGUUUGGAGGGUAGAUGUGUUGCAUCUUCUGGCUGUUUUAUUUUCGUUUAUAUGUUGAAUAGGUUAAGUGUAUUGUAAAAUGGAUUAAUUGUAUAGAGAUGUGAAAAUGACAUUAUCAUUGACCAGUUUUGGGGUUCAAGUCUAUAUGCAGACUUAAAUCUUUCCAAAUGCUGACUAACUUCUCUACAUAGUGUGCUUGAGGCUGUUCUUGAGAGAUGAUGAAAAGAGGCAACAUUUCCCUUGUACUCCUCUACCCUGUUUACCCACAUCAGGGCUUGUUUGAACGACCCUCUGUCCAGGUCCCAAGUACUUUAACCCACAGCGUCCAUCAGAAACCCCCUUAUCUUUUGGACUGCGACAAUUGGCGCCCAACGUGGGACUUGGGCUGCCACAACGCUGGAGUAACUUUUGGGUCGAUAGUUCCGGGGACGAACGUUGAGCAAAGAUCAGUCAGCCAUAUUUGUUUGUACAUGUAUACGCAUAUUGGAAUGCAGGAUGUAAACAAUGGUGGAAUGUAUAAGUUUGAUGUUAUUUCAACGUCAGUUAACCAUCGGCAGUGAUUUAUUGUGAUAUUCUGAAAUGAAUUAGACCAGAUAUUUGUGUGCACAAUUGUUUUAUUGUAAAUUAUUAGCUAGCAACUUGAUCGAUUUCUACUUUCGUUUUCUAAUUGGUACCAUAUUUCGCGAAUGACAACACGGAUGACAUUUUCUAUUGGAACAUUUAAUUAUUCAUAGAAGAGUGAUACAUUUUAGGAUUUGGAACUGUUUUAGUCUGCUUCAGUGAAUUUGAGUGUUAUUGAUAUAUAAAACAGGACUUAUAAUUUAAAUAGAUUUUAUUGACUAUAUUGUAUAUUGUACAUGUCAUGUUAUUUUUCUAUUUUUGUGAUUCUCAAUAUUUUAUUUAAAUUUCAGAUUUGUCAUUGAACUGUUGUGAAAUUGUGUCAGUGGUCACCUUGCAGAAUCACAGUUGAAGGGUUGUUCAUCUUGGGCAGAAGGAUCUUAGCAUGUUUUCUGUAACAGUACUUUUCUGGUGAUUGACCCUCUGUCCAGGUCCCAAGUACUUUUAACCACAGCGUCCAUCAGAAACCCCCUUAUCUUUUGGACUGCGACAUGUU